CCAAAGCUGGCGACCGGCGCACGGGUGAGUAACACGUAUCCAACCUGCCUCAUACUCGGGGAUAGCCUUUCGAAAGAAAGAUUAAUGUCCGAUAGCAUAUAUUUCCCGCAUGGGUUUUAUAUUAAAGAAAUUCGGUAUGAGAUGGGGAUGCGUUCCAUUAGUUUGUUGGGGGGUAACGGCCCACCAAGACUACGAUGGAUAGGGGUUCUGAGAGGAAGGUCCCCCACAUUGGAACUGAGACACGGUCCAA
rnacentral:rRNA from 1 species